GGGGGAAUGGGCAGGGAGGAGGGUCUCUAGGCAAAUUCCAGGGCUAGAGGCUGAGACUUAGUGACUGAGGUGCUGGGGGUUGUGGGGCUGUGACAGGCAGAGGGAGGUGUCAGAUACCAGGACAAGGGUGUUGUGAAUGCUACCUCCUGCCCCUACUCUUGGGAUGGCUCCAAGGGCUGAGGUGUGAAUCCCCAGUGUGCUCCAGGAAUGGCGCUGCAUGAGCCACCGUGCCCAGCCGCCUGGCCUUAAAAAUCAUGUAAUUUAAUGAUCGGACACCAGUCAUAGCCAUAGGAUGCAAAGAAGCAAAGGCAAAGUUACAGGCCAGUGUAGGGAAAGAGCUUCUGCUUGCGAGUGGGAAGAACAGAGGAGUUCAGGAAGUGUGAGUCAGGCUCAGCUUAGUCAGGCAGAGACCAGUGGGCAUGGGUUACCUGGGGGUAAUGCAGGCCAGGUGGGCAGGCUGGCAGCCUGGGGCCCGUUUCCUGCCAAAGCACCUCUGACCAUCCUUCUCCUCCCCCAGGUACUACUACAAACGGGAGAUCCUGGAACGGGUGGAUGGCCGGCGACUCGUCUACAAGUUUGGCAAAAACUCAAGCGGCUGGAAGGAGGAAGAGGUUCUCCAGAGUCGGAACUGAGGGUUGGAACUAUACCCGGGACCAAACUCACGGACCACUCGAGGCCUGCAAACCUUCCUGGGAGGACAGGCAGGCCAGAUGUCCCCUCCACUGGGGAAUGCUCCCAGCUGUGCUGUGGAGAAAAGCUGACGUUUUGGUGUAUUGUCAGCCAUCGUCCUGGGACUCGGAGACUAUGGCCUCGCCUCCCCACCCUCCUCUUGGAAUUACAAGCCCUGGGGUUUGAAGCUGACUCUAGCUGCAAGUGUGUCUCCUUUUAUCUGGUGCCUCCUCAAACCCAGUCUCAGACACUAAAUGCAGACAACACCUUCCUCCUGCAGACACCUGGACUGAGC
rnacentral:sRNA from 1 species